GCGCUUGCUUCAGCAGCACAUAUCCUAAAAUUGGAACUAUACAGAGAAGAUUAGCAUGGCCCCUGUACAAGGAUGACAUGCAAAUUCGUGAAGCAUUCCAUAUUUAA